CCCAUUUCUAGCCUUUACAAGAUAAUAUGAUGAAUUUCAGGGUGAGUAUUAAUCCUCUUUCAAAACCAGUAACCAGCAGCAAAGAAUGUUGAAGUUAUAUCCUAUGAUUUAGAGGAGCCGGCACCAAUUGAUGUACUUCUUACAGCUACCCUCACCGCACCUACGCAACUAAGCUGCCUCAUCUCAGGGUUCAAUCCAUGCCUUUCCUGGCUCUGACACCCUUCUUCUAUUUGGACACCCAAAUAGUAUGCUAUCUGUAGCAUUACGAACAGGUGAUAUGUGAAGAAGGUUCCAAAAUGUACUCUUAUUCUUCCUGUAAUUUAAGAUACGUACUGUGCAUGCUUGUUCAGCUUGAAUGCUUUCUCUUAUCUUCUCAAGAACUGAGGAAUCUGUUUCAACUCCACUUAAAAAUCUACAAUUGCGCCCCAAGACUUCAUCCCUAGCAUAACCUGUCAAUUUCAAGAAGGCAUCACUUGCAUAAACUAUAGGCAUAUCUGGCAAGUGCGGAUCCGUCAAUGUUUGAUUCUACCAAGAGAUAUAUUUAAAGAUGAACUGAUAAGGGUUGCUCCAGGUGAGCUGCAUCUUUUUCCACACACCAAUUUGCCAGUUGACUCGCUAUAUUGAGUUAGUACAGACAAAAUAUUGUUAAUGGCAGAUGCUGCUCUUCGCUUCUCUGCCUCACUAGCUUCGCAUGGUUCCUCGGUAUUUAAUCCUCUACUAUCUGAAUCCAAUGCCGAAACCCGACACAUAUCCAUCGAGCAAACCUCUCUCCUACACGAACCAAACACAAUCUCCUUAAAUCCUGACCCUUCCUCACUCAAACUCAACCCGUUUAGCCGCUGCCUACUCAAAA
rnacentral:misc_RNA from 1 species